UGGGGAAUUUUGGACAAUGGGCGCAAGCCUGAUCCAGCAAUGCCGCGUGCAGGAUGAAGGCCUUCGGGUUGUAAACUGCUUUUGUACGGAGCGAAAAGGCUUCCACUAAUACUGGGGGCUCAUGACGGUACCGUAAGAAUAAGCACCGGCUAACUACGUGCCAGCAGCCGCGGUAAUACGUAGGGUACAAGCGUUAAUCGGAAUUAUUGGGCGUAAAGCGAGCGCAGGCGGUUAGAUAAGUCUGAAGUUAAAGGCUGUGGCUUAACCAUAGUACGCUUUGGAAACUGUUUAACUUGAGUGCAAGAGGGGAGAGUGGAAUUCCAUGUGUAGCGGUGAAAUGCGUAGAUAUAUGGAGGAACACCGGUGGCGAAAGCGGCUCUCUGGCUUGUAACUGACGCUGAGGCUCGAAAGCGUGGGGAGCAAACAGGAUUAGAUACCCUGGUAGUCCACGCCGUAAACGAUGAGUGCUAGGUGUUAGACCCUUUCCGGGGUUUAGUGCCGCAGCUAACGCAUUAAGCACUCCGCCUGGGGAGUACGACCGCAAGGUUG
rnacentral:rRNA from 1 species